rnacentral:miRNA from 1 species
GGAGGAUGGCUUGAGUCCAGGAGUUUGAGGCUGUAGUAAGCUAUGAUUGUGCCAUUGCACUCCAGCCUGAGUGACAGAGCAAGACCCUGUCUC